rnacentral:rRNA from 1 species
UCGGGAAUUUUGGGCAAUGGGCGCAAGCCUGAUCCAGCCAUACCGCGUGAGUGAAGAAGGCCUUCGGGUUGUAAAGCUCUUUCAGACGGAAAGAAACGGUUACGGCUAAUACCCGUGACUAAUGACGGUACCGUAAGAAGAAGCACCGGCUAACUACGUGCCAGCAGCCGCGGUAAUACGUAGGGUGCGAGCGUUAAUCGGAAUUACUGGGCGUAAAGCGUGCGCAGGCGGUUUGGUAAGACAGAUGUGAAAUCCCCGGGCUUAACUUGGGAACUGCAUUUGUGACUGCCAGACUAGAGUGUAGCAGAGGGGGGUAGAAUUCCACGUGUAGCAGUGAAAUGCGUAGAUAUGUGGAGGAAUACCGAUGGCGAAGGCAGCCCCCUGGGCUAACACUGACGCUCAUGCACGAAAGCGUGGGGAGCAAACAGGAUUAGAUACCCCGGUAGUCCCUGAGCGGGCUGGCAAGGCGCAU